rnacentral:lncRNA from 8 species
GGAGGUUCUUCUCGCGCUUUCCAUGGUAAAAAGGAUGGCGUGAUUCUUCCAACCCAUGAGAUUGGAUAUCUUUUAGAUUCCACAAAAGGCAUUGGUGGUGACCUAAAUUAGAAUGAACAAACGUCUUUCUUUUUCUAGAAUGGAAAGGUUUGCAAAUCUUGCACGCAACCCGCGCUCUCUCAGCAGCAUGUAUGAGCAACCUGGGUUUAAUUCAUGUUCUUUCGGGGGUUGAAACCUACUUCCGAUGGAGGAUGGAGAGUUGAGGUUGAGGUCAUGUCAGAGGGUGCACUACUGUGUCCAAGCCAACCGUAAUUGUUGCCCUAGUGUCGAAUGGGGUAAUUUACUUGGACUGGCACUGCAUGGUGGUACGGGCAGGACACUCUUUGACUGUGAGCAGAGAGGAGGAGUUGAGAUUGAUAAGGGACUGUCCAUGGAGACGCAAAAGGAUAUUUUCUCAGGUACCAAAAGUCCAGACUAUUCCUGAGCAUCCAGAUGAAGACAUGAUGUGUCAAGGAGGAGUCAGAUGCGUCUCCUCCUCAAAGCUCAGAGACCUCACUAAUACAACCCUGCUUGACACAACGGAGAGAAGAUGAGUGUUGCUUGACAGUUAAUGCAUUUUUUAUACAUUUCUUUGAAAUGUUACUUCUGUCAGUAUAUGUUUGACCUUAUUGCCCCACAGUUUAUAUGAUUGCUCUUUCCCCCAUCCAUAAUCAAUUUAUGAUGUGUGUGAUAAAGUUAAAGCGGUUACUGUUUUAAAAAAACGCAAGAUGGUUGGUUCACUCACCAAAAGUGGUUUGGCAGUCUUAAUAACUUUAGAAUUAAUGAAAAUGAAACAUUCUUAAACCAAAGUAUAAGUAAGAGAAUUUAGGCUGAGUCCCAAAUUACCCCCUUCUCCUUCCCCAGGCACUUCGGGCCUCCAUUUGCUUGUUCACAUGCCCCCACCAUUUGCACAAAUGUCCCAAAGCUGAGGAAGUGAAAAUUAUUGAGUGUGUAUGGGCUAAUUAGGCCCUUCGAUAGCCUCUGACCAAGCCAGCAAGGCUGCAGGCUCCAGAGCAAAAUGCUAUUCCAACGGCAGGUAUCCUAGUGGUUAGAGUGUUAGACUUAUAACCAAAAGGUUGCAAGAUCGAGUUGACAAGAUAAAAAUCUGUUGUUCUGCCCCUGGUCAUAGGCUGUCAUUGAAAAUAAGAAUUUGUUCUUAACUGACUUGCCUAGUUAAAUGAAAAACACAGAAAUACACCCCUUCAAAUUGGUGGAUUUGGCUAUUUCAGCCACAUCUGUUGCUGACAGGUGUAUAAAAUCCAGCACACAGCCAUGCGAUCUCCAUAGACAAACAUUGGAAGUAGAAUGGCCUUACUGAAGAGCUCAGUGACUUUUAAUGUGGCACAGUCAUAGGAUGCCAUCUUUCCAACAAGUCAGUUUGCCACAUUUCUGCCCUGCUAGAGCUGCCCUAGUCAAUUGUAAGUGCUGUUAUUGUGAAGUGGAAACAUCUAGGAGCAACAACGACUCAGCCGCAAAGUGGUAGGCCACACAAGCUCACAGAACUGGACCACCCGAGUGCUGAAGCACAUAGUGCGUAAAAAUCAUCUGUCCUCGGUUGCAACAUUCACUUCAGAGUUCCUAACUACCUCUUGAAGCAAGGUCAGCACAGUAACUGUUGGUCAGGAGCUUCAUUAAAUGGGUUUCCAUGGCCGAGCAGCCACACACAAGCCUAAGAUGUUUAACUGUUACUGAGAUUUAUAUCUUGUAAGGUCCCCCUCCAAAGACAUGCUACAUUUUGGGAAUAUCAAUUUUUUUUCUCUCACUCUAGUGCAGUAUAACUGUUUUAUACAGCAUUGCAACCAAUCAUUUAUACCAGCAUUUCUUUAGAAAGUUUACACCAGUCACGCUUCGAUCAGACCAACAGCAUAAUUGCAUCAAUGCUGCGUAAUAAAUUCUGAAGUCAAUCUUUUUUCAUUGUGUAAUCCAAAAUUGUUAUUGGAGAUGUGUUCAACAAAAGUUCAACAUUCACCUUUUGCUACUAUUUCUGUUACCUCUACGCUUACAAUUUGAUGCAUACAUUGGAUAGAUCCUUAUGACCCACAGAACACAGAAUGCACUGCAACUGCCUCUGCAACUCAAUGCUGCAAGGCAGAGAGGAAGAGGCGAAGCAAGAGCGAUAACUGGACCCAAAAUUUGGCUUCUCCAGCAGGUGUCAUUAAGCUCACCAAGAAAGGAGUUUUUGUAAUCAAAUCAAAGUUUAUUGGUCAUGUACACAUAUUUGCAGAUGUUAUCGUAAAUGCAGCGAACCCGAGCCACGGCCUGUUCACCCAACUACCACUGGCGUACCACACACCCCUGCAUGGGCUCUGGGGGCCCCCAACCCCCCUGCCUCACAAGGGCUGCGGGGGUGUAGUUGUAGUGUGAUGAACAGGCCGUGGCUCAGGUGGUUGAGGUCCUUGAUGAUCUUCUUGGCCUUCCUGUGACACCGGGUGCUGUACAUGUCCUGGAGGACAGGCAGUGUGCCCCCGAUGAUGCGGCUAGGCUGACCGCAUCACCCUCUAGAGAGCCCUGCGACUGCGGACGGUGCAGUUGCACAAAGUCCUCAUAAGUGUCAGGGGACUCAAUGUUGUUUUCCUUGUUGGUCAAUGAGAAUGUUGAAUUUGGUUAAUAAACAUGUAAUGGUUUAUUUUCUUGGUGUGACUUACUUGAUCGAAUAUACGUUUCGUAAUGCUUAGGUUGUUACGAGUGUACUGAUAUAAUUAGGACGCGUGACAUCCUGCCAACUUCGAGAAAAAAACACUUUAUCGGAGUUGUGUCUGUCGUUCACAUGCAUAUCAGCCAUCUCAUUGGCUAGAAUGGUCCCACCUGAUUUUGCCUCCUGAAAGCCUUCCAUUUUUGAAGAAAUGUAUUUCCAUUGUUAGAGCAGCCACAUGAGUAGCUGGUCAAUAUAACGGAUAAUCUGUGUGCAAGGUAAACACAGCAUUCCAUUGGUAAGGGAGAGGGGCUGGUUUGGGAUCAUAGAGAUAGGAAUAACAUCUUUAUAUCUGUGCCAUUAUAGCAUCUGUGACAGCAUGGGCAGUGCCACAACCCAUAGGAAUCCCCACCCAGUUGUCUACUUUAAAAUGGUGGAAGCCAAUGGCGCUUCCCAUGCCAAAAUUGCCUUUUGGCCACUAAAGGCUUCUAUCAUUAUCUAUGUUUGGGAUUCACCAAAGUUAUUUGUAUGCAGAGUAUCUUCACAUAUCCACCACAAGACAGCGUUGUAAGUCUAUUUAAAUAUUAAAAAAUAUAUAUAAUUUUUGUAUUUUGUUAUAUCAUUUAAAACAGCAAACUUUAAAAUAGCUUUGCCAUAUUUUAGAGUAAUCUUCUGUGCUAUUUGAGCGGAAUACACCAUAUUAUUGCAAUAAAGAUUAUAUUUUAAUUUUAACCAAUCUUAUUAACUUUUGCUCCAAUU